rnacentral:tRNA from 1 species
CGGAGUAGAGCAGCCCGGUAGCUCGCUUGGCUCAUAACCAAGAGGUCGCGCGGUCGGGCCUUGUCGU